rnacentral:rRNA from 1 species
AUUGAACGCUGGCGGCAUGCUUUACACAUGCAAGUCGAACGGUAACGGGGAGCUUGCUCCGCUGACGAGUGGCGAACGGGUGAGUAAUAUAUCGGAACGUACCCAAGAGUGGGGGAUAACGUAGCGAAAGUUACGCUAAUACCGCAUACGAUCUAUGGAUGAAAGCAGGGGACCUUCGGGCCUUGUGCUCCUGGAGCGGCCGAUAUCUGAUUAGCUAGUUGGUGAGGUAAAGGCUCACCAAGGCGACGAUCAGUAGCUGGUCUGAGAGGACGAGCAGCCAAACUGGAACUGAGACACGGUCCAGACUCCUACGGGAGGCAGCAGUGGGGAAUUUUGGACAAUGGGCGCAAGCCUGAUCCAGCAAUGCCGCGUGAGUGAAGAAGGCCUUCGGGUUGUAAAGCUCUUUUGUCAGGGAAGAAACGGCUGUGGCUAAUAUCCACGGCUAAUGACGGUACCUGAAGAAUAAGCACCGGCUAACUACGUGCCAGCCGCCGCCGUAA